GUCUCAGUUCGGACUGUGGUCUGCAACCCGACCACACGAAGCUGGAAUCGCUAGUAAUCGCGAAUCUGAAUGUCGCGGUGAAUACGUUCCCGGGUCUUGUACACACCGCCCGUCACACCAUGGGAGUCAGCAACGCCCGAAGUCAGUGACCUAACCGAAAGGGAGGAGCUGCCGAAGGCGGGGCCGGUAACUGGGGUGAAGUCGUAACAAGGUACC
rnacentral:rRNA from 1 species